rnacentral:lncRNA from 10 species
AGACAGGUGUGGAGGAUGAGAAGCGGGCCACAGGAUGGGAAGGGAAUCUGUGUGGAGGCGGUGCCCUAAACAUGCUGCCUUGAGGAGGGACCUCUACAUGGGGUGGCCGGGCACAGCCAGAUGUCCCUGGAGACAGCGCCAUCUGGUGGAACUUCCUGUAACGAUCGAGAUGUUCCGUCUGUGCCGUCCAACAUGGGAGCCAUGCAGGACACAUGGUGACUGAGCACUGGGACUGUGUGCCGCGUGACCAAGAGCAGCUCAGCUCUAAAGUCUCCUCCAGCUUUAUGAUGUCACUUCCUGUAUCUUCUCUACACAUUCUUUCCUUCAGCCUGUUGUUUGUAAGUUUUUAUGUAGGAAAGUAGAAAAUUCAGAAUAUGUUUCAUCAGGUUUUUGUUUGGCAAAGUGUCAACAUGUUUAUAACAGAGUUAAAGAUAAAGGAAA